GCGGAUAUAUGUCAAUGGCUAGACAGCUUCCUUUACACGGAAGAAGUUAUAGGUUCGAGUCCUAUUAUCCGCACCA
rnacentral:tRNA from 2 species